UGCAGUCGAGCGGUAGAGAGAAGCUUGCUUCUCUUGAGAGCGGCGGACGGGUGAGUAAUGCCUAGGAAUCUGCCUGGUAGUGGGGGAUAACGCUCGGAAACGGACGCUAAUACCGCAUACGUCCUACGGGAGAAAGCAGGGGACCUUCGGGCCUUGCGCUAUCAGAUGAGCCUAGGUCGGAUUAGCUAGUUGGUGAGGUAAUGGCUCACCAAGGCGACGAUCCGUAACUGGUCUGAGAGGAUGAUCAGUCACACUGGAACUGAGACACGGUCCAGACUCCUACGGGAGGCAGCAGUGGGGAAUAUUGGACAAUGGGCGAAAGCCUGAUCCAGCCAUGCCGCGUGUGUGAAGAAGGUCUUCGGAUUGUAAAGCACUUUAAGUUGGGAGGAAGGGCAUUAACCUAAUACGUUGGUGUCUUGACGUUACCGACAGAAUAAGCACCGGCUAACUCUGUGCCAGCAGCCGCGGUAAUACAGAGGGUGCAAGCGUUAAUCGGAAUUACUGGGCGUAAAGCGCGCGUAGGUGGUUCGUUAAGUUGGAUGUGAAAUCCCCGGGCUCAACCUGGGAACUGCAUUCAAAACUGUCGAGCUAGAGUAUGGUAGAGGGUGGUGGAAUUUCCUGUGUAGCGGUGAAAUGCGUAGAUAUAGGAAGGAACACCAGUGGCGAAGGCGACCACCUGGACUGAUACUGACACUGAGGUGCGAAAGCGUGGGGAGCAAACAGGAUUAGAUACCCUGGUAGUCCACGCCGUAAACGAUGUCAACUAGCCUUUGGGAGCCUUGAGCUCUUAGUGGCGCACCUAACGCAUUAAGUUGACCGCCUGGGGAGUACGGCCGCAAGGUUAAAACUCAAAUGAAUUGACGGGGGCCCGCACAAGCGGUGGAGCAUGUGGUUUAAUUCAAAGCAACGCGAAGAACCUUACCAGGCCUUGACAUCCAAUGAACUUUCUA
rnacentral:rRNA from 1 species